UACGUAGGGUGCAAGCGUUAAUCGGAAUUACUGGGCGUAAAGCGUGCGCAGGCGGUUCGGAAAGAAAGAUGUGAAAUCCCAGAGCUUAACUUUGGAACUGCAUUUUUAACUACCGGGCUAGAGUGUGUCAGAGGGAGGUGGAAUUCCGCGUGUAGCAGUGAAAAUGCGUAGAUAUGCGGAGGAACACCGAUGGCGAAGGCAGCCUCCUGGGAUAACACUGACGCUCAUGCAC
rnacentral:rRNA from 1 species